rnacentral:rRNA from 1 species
GCUCAGCCAUAAACCUUGAUGUCCAACUACGAUUGACGUCCGCCCGGGUACUACGAGCAUUAGCUUGAAACCCAAAAGACCUGACGGUGCCUUAGACCCCCCUAGAGGAGCCUGUUCUAGAACCGAUAACCCUCGUUAAACCUCACCACUUCUAGCCACCCCAGCCUAUAUACCGCCGUCGUCAGCUUACCCUGUGAAGGCAAUAAAAGUAAGCAAAAUGGGCACAACCCAGAACGUCAGGUCGAGGUGUAGCGUACGAAGUGGGAAGAAAUGGGCUACAUUUUCUAUUAUAGAACACUACGAAUAUGCAACAUGAAAUAGUGCUUGAAGGAGGAUUUAGUAGUAAAAAGGAAGCAGAGUGUCCUUUUGAACCCGGCUCUGAGGCGCGU